GAUGAAGAACGUAGCGAAAUGCGAUAAGUAAUGUGAAUUGCAGAAUUCAGUGAAUCAUCGAAUCUUUGAACGCACAUUGCGCCCCCUGGUAUUCCGGGGGGCAUGCCUGUCCGAGCGUCAUUACAACCCUCAAGCUCAGCUUGGUGUUGGGCCCCGCCGCCCCGGCGGGCCCUAAAGUCAGUGGCGGUGCCGUCCGGCUCCGAGCGUAGUAAUUCUUCUCGCUCUGGAGGUCCGGUCGUGUGCUCGCCAGCAACCCCCAAUUUUUUUCAGGUUGACCUCGGAUCAGGUAGGGAUACCCGCUGAACUUAAUCAUAUCAAUAAGCGGAGGA
rnacentral:misc_RNA from 1 species